CUUAUUCCCUUUCUGUGAAUAAAGGAAGAGCUAUUUUACUGCAGCAGAAACUGACAGGAGCAUUUACAUCAUUUGGGAAAGAUAGGUCAAAGUGUCAUCAGAUACACUAUGCUGAGGUUGAGGAUCAGAUACACCAUGCCGAGGCUGAGGACCAGAUACACUAUGCUGAGGCUGAGGACCAGAUACACUAUGCUGAGGCUGAGGACCAGAUACACUAUGCUGAGGCUGAGGACCAGAUACACUAUGCUGAGGCUGAGGACCAGAUA
rnacentral:lncRNA from 1 species